ACCAUCUGCUUGCAAUUGCAACAGAAACCUCAGCCUCUAUAAAGCUUAAGAUUCUUGGGGAGGUGCCCAGAGCUACCAGUUUGGAGAUCAGUCCAGAGGGAUGCUGAUAGGAAAAUUAAACAAGCUGCAUGUGUGCCGACUGCCCUGCUGAGGAGUUGGGAACUGCUGCUGAGCUCAGUCUGGUGGCGCGGCUUCCCUUCAGGGCCCACUCCUUGUCACACCACUUCUGGGUUCUGCUGAAGCCAUGGAAGCAGUUCCAGGAGUCACCUGUGAAAAGGCCUCUCAACUGGAGAGAAGGAACAUCCACCCAGAUGAAGGCUGCCGUGGGUCU